CUAAGGAGGAUAACGUUGCAUCAGCAACGGCCCGCAGGGCGAAGCGCAAGCUGAGUAAUCCUCCUGGAUGCACCA
rnacentral:sRNA from 2 species